AGUUAGUUAGUUAGUUAGUUAGUUAGUUAGUUAGUUAGUUAGUUAGUUAGUUAGUUAGUUAGUUAGUUAGUUAGUUAGUUAGUUAGUUAGUUAGUUAGUUAGUUAGUUAGUUAGUUAGUUAGUUAGUUAGUUAGUUAGUUAGUUAGUUAGUUAGUUACCAGUCUCCCUCCCAGCUCGGGUUCGAGUCCCGAGGUGGAGAUUCCUGAGGACUUCCAUCUCCCCUUCUUUCCCGCCAAGGACGAGAGAAAGUGCAGUUCGGGGCUGAGUGCCGUGACCGUCUUCUUUGUGUUUCAUCCCACAUCUGCUGUACGGCCAAGGCAAGGUCACUCUGGGCAGCCUCAGUCUGAGGACCAGAACACGCAGAGUGCCUUCAGUGGACCUGUCAGAUAAUGUCUGUGCGGACCCCAGGCUCUCCUUCUGUUCCUCUCAUGCCUGCGUGGCGGUUGGACUUGCUGCACCCGACUGCAGGAACUGAGACGAUCACGGGCCUACAAGCAUCGCCAGGGUAGGCUGAUUUAGAAAGAUAAAUGACUGGAUUUCCCACAACGGAUUUCACCGGAGGAAUGAGAUUCAA
rnacentral:lncRNA from 1 species